rnacentral:rRNA from 1 species
UACGGAGGGGGCUAGCGUUGCUCGGAAUUACUGGGCGUAAAGGGAGCGUAGGCGGACAGUUUAGUCAGUGGUGAAAGCCCAGGGCUCAACCUUGGAAUUGCCAUUGAUACUGAUUGUCUUGAGUAUGGGAGAGGUGUGCGGAACUCCGAGUGUAGAGGUGAAAUUCGUAGAUAUUCGGAAGAACACCAGUGGCGAAGGCGGCACACUGGCCCAUUACUGACGCUGAGGCUCGAAAGCGUGGGGAGCAAACAGG